rnacentral:lncRNA from 1 species
GGCUUGCUGCACAGUUUACCUUUAUCAACUGAAGCGAUUUCUGUUGCUGAACCAUCUGUUGUUCAUUUGCCACAACCUUCAGCUUCAUAUUUUGGAGAAAUAAAUUUUGCUGCCGAAGUAUCUGAUGUUUGUUUGCAAGAACAAGCUUCAACUUCAUCUUGUGAUAAAAUGCCAUCUAUUUGUGAAGGAUCUCAUGUAAG